AAUAAUUUAUUUGAUGGUCUCUUUCUACAUGGAUAACUGUAGUAAUUCUAGAGCUAAUACAUGCGUAAAAUCUCGACUCUUGCGGGGAGAGAUGUAUUUAUUAGAUAAAAAACCAAUGCGGGUUCUGCCCGGUUUUGUGGUGAAUCAUAGUAACUUUUCGAAGCGCAUGGCUUCACGCCGGCGCUAGUUCAUUCAAAUUUCUGCCCUAUCAGCUUUCGACGGUAGUGUAGUGGACUACCGUGGCGUUAACGGGUAACGGAGAAUUAGGGUUCGAUUCCGGGGAGGGAGCCUGAGAAACGGCUACCACA
rnacentral:rRNA from 1 species